rnacentral:rRNA from 1 species
AGCGAACGCUGGCGGCAGGCCUAACACAUGCAAGUCGAACGAACUCUUCGGAGUUAGUGGCGGACGGGUGAGUAACACGUGGGAACGUGCCUUUUGGUUCGGAAUAACUCAGGGAAACUUGUGCUAAUACCGAAUGUGCCCUUCGGGGGAAAGAUUUAUCGCCAUUAGAGCGACCCGAGUCUGAUUAGCUAGUUGGUGAGGUAACGGCUCACCAAGGCGACAAUCAGUAGCUGGUCUGAGAGGAAGACCAGCCACACAGGGGCUGAGACACGGCCCAGACUCCUACGGGAGGCAGCAGUGGGGAAUCUUGCGCAAUGGGCGAAAGCCUGACGCAGCCAUGCCGCGUGAAUGAUGAAGGUCUUAGGAUUGUAAAAUUCUUUCACCGGGGACGAUAAUGACGGUACCCGGAGAAGAAGCCCCGGCUAACUUCGUG